UUAGGUUCGUGCAAAAGUAAUCGCUAUUUUUGCCAUUACGCUCAAUGGCAAAAACCGUGAUUACUUUUGCACCAACCUA
ensembl:miRNA